rnacentral:lncRNA from 1 species
GGGAAACAACUAUUUAACAAAAUCACUGGUGUCCAAUAACAAGUGUUGAGGGGGGUAAGAGGUCAUAAUUCUCAAGCGACAUGAUACACUCUGUAAUUGUACGUCCUGAGCAACCGCCACUCUCAGGUGAUGCUGCAGAAUUGAUAGAAAAUGAAGCAUAUGGUUUAGAUUCUUGAUCAAUAUCAGUGCUCGAAAUGAGUAUGAUUUCGGUACUUGCUACUACAAGUAAAGACAAGAUGAUGAAACCAAGACUCUUUGACAUUUUAUAUUUUCUAAACUGAAUUGUAAGCAAAUUAAUUAGAAUUAAAAGAGAGGUUAAGAAUAAGAAUCACAUGAGGCUUUUUAUACAUGAAUGAAUAUUGAGAACUGAGCUAUAAUAGCCUUUAUGAAAUUGUCGAUUCUAUAAAUGAGUAUUGAAUAAGUCAUAGUACCUUUAUUUGCAUUAACCAGUGACUUUAAUAUCUUAUUGUGUUAUCAUGCAUUGUAAAUGAAACGUACUUCUAAUCAAUUUUAGAGAGUUUAACUGAAAAUAAACUGAAAAUAAAAUAAACAUGAAAAUAUUCUUAUUGCCCGACCUUAUAAUUGAAAAUAAAAAUUUUCAAGCCCAAAAAAGCCCAAUUAUUUGAAAGCCCUGGCCCGAUCAUAGCUUCUUUUAAAGGUUUUUUUUAAUUUUUAAUUAAUUUAAAAUUUAAAAAAUGGACAUAGGCUUCCCAUUAAAAUAUAAAAGCUUUAGAAAUUGUUUAAAGUAACAUAAAAAUAAAAGUUACUCAAGGUUACAACCAUAUUAUUACAUAAAUAAUAAACAUAUAUUAACAUAAUUUUUUUUUUAAGUUUUAAGGUUAGGUCAGGUCGAGUCGGGUCGGGUCGAGCAUGUAGGGCUAGAACUCUAAUCCGAAUUUAAUCGGACUCUAAUAUUUAGGCUUGAGCCCGAUCAUAGACCCCAUAAAUUUGGGUCAAAGCCUAGAAAAUUCAGGCUAGGUCAAUCAGACUAAAAGUCGAGAUGGGUCUUCCUUGCAUGUAUAUAUGUUUGCAUCUUAAUUUUUAUUUUUAUUUAUCAUAUAAACUUGUUUAUAAAUUUAUUUUCUACAAACUGAUGUAACAUAAUUCAUUUGCUUAAGUUAUGCCACCAAAAGUAUCUAAUUUCAAAAUAUAUGAUCCUUUUCCCUUUUUUUUAACCCAAGAAGCUAGAAAAACACGCAAUCAUGGUCCAAUAUAAAUUAAGUAUGAAUAUAAAUGUCAGAGGAGUAAGGUAAAAGAUUGUGUAAAUUUUAGAUAAAGGUCAAGUAUGGGUAGUUAUUAAUCAAGAAUUGGUAAAGGUUGGGUAAAGAGAGAUGGAUAAUGGACGGGUAAAAUGGAGAAUAAAUAUCAUCUUUUAAGGAUAUUUACGACUUAUUUUUAAUGAAUUGUUAUAUUACUAGAAUUAUUCAAUAUGAUGUCAUAUUUAUAGAAUUAAGUCACUUUCAUGGCAUAAACAGUAUAAUUUCCUCAACGUGCAUGAGCAUGUUAAUCUUAACAAUAGAAAUGAAACCAUCCUCAUUACAAACCAACCGAAAUGAAAAUAUUUUAGUACUAUUAUAUCUUGUUAAUCAGUGGGGACCAUUAUUGUUAACCAUUCAAUCAAGUCAUUCUUUCUCUUUUACAAUUUUUUUUUAAAAGGAAAAUAACAUUAAAAAUAAUAGUCAAAUUACUCAAAUCAUGGAGUUAAGCCACUAUCAUGCUUAUAAUUCUAGAAAAAAUUACUCAGUAUGAUGUCAUAUCUGUAUAAUUAAGUCACUUUCUUGACAUAGAUCAGAAAAAAGGGUCUAAUUAAAUAUAGAUAGUUUAAUAAUUUCUAUUAAAAUAUGGAAAUGAAAUCAUAAUAUUGGAGAAAAAAGAAAAGAAUAAAUCAUUCACCAAAAUAAAAACUUAUGAAAUAGGAUCUUAACAACCAGUUCUUUGUGAUAAAAACUACAAAAUAAAAAAAAAAUAUGACAAAACAUUUGUACCUCAAACAGAGGAUUUACACAUUUUCUUGGGUCAAUGGCAUAUAACAUUGUUAUCCUUUACACAUAUCAAGAUCUGAUCAUAUUGAAGUUUAUUUAGAACACAAUUAGAAUUGCCUACAACAAACCAUAAAAGCUAUUAUAACAAACUCAUAAUCAAGCCAAAUUACCUUGCUCACUCUAGAAGUCCAGCAAAUAGAUUAUUUACAAUACAAAAUUAAUUAGCAGGAAAUAAUAAAGAUAACAUGUGAAGCAAAUAUAAAACAAUUCAAUAGAAAAUCAAGGUGAAAAAGGGAAUUCCGGAAAAAUCAAUACUAAAAGACAAAAUCAAUAUCAAGAAUUGGCUAAUUUGGUGAGCGUUCUCGCUCAAAAAAAAAAGAAAAAAGAAAAGAAAGCACAAUGCAAAGACAACCUUUACCCAUUCUAGUUUGCAAGGAUUAUAUGUUUUGAUAUUUAACGAACUUCAGCCUCUUCGAGUUGGCCACUGGGCAACAGCCUUUGCCCCUCCGCAACACUUAAUGGAACAGAAUGGCGAAACGACGAUGACAUCGAGUUGAUUGUGGAGAAAGAAUCGGUUGCUCUUUU